rnacentral:misc_RNA from 1 species
AUUUUGUACACACCGCCCGUCACACCAUGGGAGUGGGUUGCAAAAGAAGUAGGUAGCUUAACCUUCGGGAGGGCGCUUACCACUUUGUGAUUCAUGACUGGGGUGAAGUCGUAACAAGGUAACCGUAGGGGAACCUGCGGUUGGAUCACCUCCUUACCUAAGAGAUACGUGUUAUGUGAAGUGCUCACACAGAUUGUCUGAUGAAGAACGAGCAGAGAUACCGGUAUAGGCUUGUAGCUCAGGUGGUUAGAGCGCACCCCUGAUAAGGGUGAGGUCGGUGGUUCAAGUCCACUCAGGCCUACCACUUUUCCUUUAUGCUGUGUUGUGAAGCAACUCGUUUACAUUAAGUAAACUUCGUUACUCCACGCCUUGCCUAAAGAAAAAGCUUCUUAUUAUAAGAAGAAAAAGGAGUGGUUAUACGGGUAUUAAAACAUUAUGGGGCUAUAGCUCAGCUGGGAGAGCGCCUGCCUUGCACGCAGGAGGUCAGCGGUUCGAUCCCGCUUAGCUCCACCAUAAUCUCUUGAAUAUAAAACAAUGAUUCAGAGUAUAUUAGGAAUAGUAUACUGCGAAUUAUUAUGCUCUUUAACAAUCUGGAACAAGCUGAAAAAUUGAAAACAAAUCAAUAUAUCAACGAGGUAUAUUGGUGAGUCUCUCAAAAUCUCAAACCUUAAAGUUUGUCACGCAAAGUUUAUCUUUGAAAGAGACACUUUCGGGUUGUGAGGUUAAGCGAAUAAGCGUACACGGUGGAUGCCUAGGCAAUCAGAGGCGAUGAAGGACGUGCUAAUCUGCGAAAAGCGUCGGUAAGGUGAUAUGAACCGUUAUACCCGACGAUAUCCGAAUGGGGAAACCCAGUAUCCAAUGGAUACUAUCAUUAACUGAAUCCAUAGGUUAAUGAGGCGAACCGGGAGAACUGAAACAUCUCAGUACCCCGAGGAAAAGAAAUCAACCGAGAUUCCCCUAGUAGCGGCGAGCGAACGGGGAGCAGCCCAGAGUCUUAAUCAAUAGCAGUGUCAGGAGAACGGUCUGGAAAGUCCGGCAGUAAAGGGUGAUAGCCCCGUAUCUGAAGAUGCUGUUAUUGUGAACUCGACGAGUAGGGCGGGACACGUGUUAUCCUGUCUGAAUAUGGGGGGACCAUCCUCCAAGGCUAAAUACUCCUGAUUGACCGAUAGUGAACCAGUACCGUGAGGGAAAGGAAU